rnacentral:lncRNA from 1 species
GGAGAGGACUAGAUGUCCUCCAAGGUCUCUUCCAGCUAUAAAUUCCAUAAUGUUAUCAGGGACUCAGAUCGGGUGUCUAGAGCUUGGACAAGACUGGAGGUCCAUCUCGGUGACAGAUCUCAGACUUAGUAAACAAGGUUCCAGCUUUGUUAUCCAAAGAUGAGGCCCAAGAAUCAGGACAGCUCAGGACAACUGGCUGAUCCUCAUCACUGGGACUCAAACCCUUGCUAUUCUAGACUCCGCAAAAAAGGGCCAGCAACUGGAUCUGCCUUUCCCCCAUCCCUAUUCCCCCAGGUCAAUUCCAGGCCCAAGUCCUCAGAACUGAGGGCAGGGCAGGGAGGCAGGAGGGAGGGGGAUGAAGGCAACCAAGAUCUCUGCCCUGGACCAGACUAUGGCGCCAGCUCAGUGACCUCGGUCCAAGGCAGGGGUCCAGCCCCUGAGAAAGGCCAGGCAGUCCAGAUGGGAGCUGGAUAGCGCUGGGGGUUGGGAGCUGGCCCGAGCUGGCCCACGAAUGGGAGAAUCUCUCUCUCUCUAGCCCAUGAAAGGAGAAACUGUUUUCUUUCUAUGUAAAUAAAAUCACAAAUUCCUAAACUAUUGGAGCCUUAGAGAAUGUGGAGUCCCAGCCAUCUCGUUUUAAGGAUGAGGAAACUGAGGCCCAGAGGGGACUUGUUCUGGGUCUUUUUCUCUCUCUGUCCUCUGAGGCUCUUUUCCCUCUGCCUCUGCCCUCUCUGUGUCUCUGGUCUCUCCUUCUCUGACUUUUUCUCUCCUCGGUGUCUCUUUCUCCCUGUCUCUGACUUUUGUCUGUCUCUGUCCCAUCCUUCUGUCUCUGCUCUUUCUGCCCCCUCUGUGUCUCUGGUCUCCUUCUCUGACUUUUUCUCUCCUCGGUGUCUCUUUCUCCCUGUCUCUGACUUUUGUCUGUCUCUGCUUUCUCCAUCAUGUCUCUGCUCUUUCUGCCCCCUCUGUGUCUCUGGUCUCCUCCUCUGACUUUUUCUCUCCUCGGUGUCUCUUUCUCCCUGUCUCUGACUUCUGUCUGUCUCUGUCCCAUCCUUCUGUCUCUGCUCUUUCUGCCCGGUGUCUCUAUCUCUGCCCCGUUGUGGGUCUCGCUUCUUUCCACUCUGCGUCUCUCUCGGUCUCGGUCGUCUCGGCUGGGUCACACUUGUUGACUCAAACAUCUCAAGUUUCCAAACAGCUCGGGCCUCAGCCCCUCCCC